AGACCCGAAACCCGGUGAUCUAGCCAUGGGCAGGUUGAAGGUUGGGUAACACUAACUGGAGGACCGAACCGACUAAUGUUGAAAAAUUAGCGGAUGACCUGUGGCUGGGGGUGAAAGGCCAAUCAAACCGGGAGAUAGCUGGUUCUCCCCGAAAGCUAUUUAGGUAGCGCCUCGUGAAUUCAUCUCCGGGGGUAGAGCACUGUUUCGGCUAGGGGGCCAUCCCGGCUUACCAACCCGAUGCAAACUGCGAAUACCGGAGAAUGUUAUCACGGGAGACACACGGCGGGUGCUAACGUCCGUCGUGAAGAGGGAAACAACCCAGACCGCCAGCUAAGGUCCCAAAGUCAUGGUUAAGUGGGAAACGAUGUGGGAAGGCCCAGACAGCCAGGAUGUUGGCUUAGAAGCAGCCAUCAUUUAAAGAAAGCGUAAUAGCUCACUGGUCGAGUCGGCCUGCGCGGAAGAUGUAACGGGGCUAAACCAUGCACCGAAGCUGCGGCAGCGACGCUGAUGCGUUGUUGGGUAGGGGAGCGUUCUGUAAGCCUGCGAAGGUGACCUGUGAGGGUUGCUGGAGGUAUCAGAAGUGCGAAUGCUGACAUAAGUAACGAUAAAGCGGGUGAAAAGCCCGCUCGCCGGAAGACCAAGGGUUCCUGUCCAACGUUAAUCGGGGCAGGGUGAGUCGACCCCUAAGGCGAGGCCGAAAGGCGUAGUCGAUGGGAAACGGGUUAAUAUUCCCGUACUUGGUGUUACUGCGAAGGGGGGACGGAGAAGGCUAUGUUGGCCGGGCGACGGUUGUCCCGGUUUAAGCGUGUAGGUGUGUGUUCCAGGUAAAUCCGGUUCACUUUAACACUGAGGCGUGAUGACGAGGCACUACGGUGCUGAAGCAACAAAUGCCCUGCUUCCAGGAAAAGCCUCUAAGCAUCAGGUAACAUCAAAUCGUACCCCAAACCGACACAGGUGGUCAGGUAGAGAAUACCAAGGCGCUUGAGAGAACUCGGGUGAAGGAACUAGGCAAAAUGGUGCCGUAACUUCGGGAGAAGGCACGCUGACACGUAGGUGAAGUGAUUUACUCACGGAGCUGAAGUCAGUCGAAGAUACCAGCUGGCUGCAACUGUUUAUUAAAAACACAGCACUGUGCAAACACGAAAGUGGACGUAUACGGUGUGACGCCUGCCCGGUGCCGGAAGGUUAAUUGAUGGGGUCAGCGCAAGCGAAGCUCCUGAUCGAAGCCCCGGUAAACGGCGGCCGUAACUAUAACGGUCCUAAGGUAGCGAAAUUCCUUGUCGGGUAAGUUCCGACCUGCACGAAUGGCGUAAUGAUGGCCAGGCUGUCUCCACCCGAGACUCAGUGAAAUUGAACUCGCUGUGAAGAUGCAGUGUACCCGCGGCAAGACGGAAAGACCCCGUGAACCUUUACUAUAGCUUGACACUGAACAUUGAGCCUUGAUGUGUAGGAUAGGUGGGAGGCUUUGAAGUGUGGACGCCAGUCUGCAUGGAGCCGACCUUGAAAUACCACCCUUUAAUGUUUGAUGUUCUAACGUGGACCCGUUA
rnacentral:rRNA from 1 species